AGCAGCCGCGGUAAUUCCAGCUCCAAUAGCGUAUAUUAAAGUUGUUGCAGUUAAAAAGCUCGUAGUUGAAUUUCGGGAUCAAUUAAUCGGUCGUGCCUCUGGUACGCACUGGUUUUAUUGGUUUCUCCCUUCUGACGAACCAGGAUGUCAUUAAUUUGGUGUCUUGGAGAAUCAGGACUGUUACUUUGAAAAAAUUAGAGUGUUUAAAGCAGGCUAACGCUUGAAUACAUUAGCAUGGAAUAAUGAAAUAGGACGUUUGAUCCUAUUUUGUUGGUUUCUAGGAUCGACGUAAUGAUUAAUAGGGAUAGUUGGGGGCAUUAGUAUUCAAUUGUCAGAGGUGAAAUUCUUGGAUUUAUUGAAGACUAACUACUGCGAAAGCAUUUGCCAAGGAUGUUUUCAUUAAUCAAGAACGAAAGUUAGGGGAUCGAAGACGAUCAGAUACCGUCGUAGUCCUAACCAUAAACUAUGCCGACUAGGGAUCGGAUGAUGUAAUUUUUAAUGACU
rnacentral:misc_RNA from 1 species